GCCAGCUGAAGAAAGAAGGCAGAGCCUGCCCAAGCUGUCCUGCCCCAAGCCGACUAUGCUGGUUGUAUGGCAGGAAGGGGCAGCCACUCAGGCAAGAUGGUGGCAGAGGUGAUACCGUUGGUCUGGGUCUCCGAGCAGGAUUUCAGGCUGGUCAGCUGGAGGCAUAUUCCAUGGGGAGGUAGAUGGCUCAAGGUGCCCCUGGUCUAUCUGUUCCUGCACCAACAGGAGGGCUGCCUGGACUUUCUCCCCCGAUAAGGACCACUGGUCUGUCCACACUGGAUCAUCUGAUUUCCAGAGGGCCUCUUUAGAGACCGUCUUGCCCAUGACUAUAAUUGGACAGCAGUACUUACCUCAAGACGCGGCAGUGCACAAGUGAUACAGGGUGUCUCUACCUUGGGUCGGCUAGCCUCCUCUUCUUUUGGUGCUGUCUGGCAACCACCGUGCCUCGAGCCCCACGUUGGGCGCCACUUGACCCGUCCAGCAGACCAGGUAAUUGGUGGGUCAUGAGGAGGUAUCGCCUAGGGGUCAAUGGGGGCGAGAAGGGUAGGAGACCAAGCACAUAAAGAAAGACAGUCAGUCUGAAUCGCAUCAAGGUCUCGUUUAUUGAAGGGUAAAGCUUGCUUAUAUGCAGGGGAUUUUGCUUGGGGCGGGGUAGGAGGGUAGGAAGAAUGGAAAAUUUUAAGAGGAAGUGAAGAUAAGGUUGGCCUAGGCCCAUGUCCCUAUGACCGACCAGCUGCAGCAGAUUCCGAGAAGUAAAGGAACAUCCUGUAAAACAUGUUUUGAACAGCUUAUCUAAAAAGAACAUAUUGUGGUUAGAACAGGCCAGAGCAGGUGGCUGUGCAAAAUCUUGCUCAAGAUUCUCUUUGGCCCUCAACAAGGACCACCAGACAGAAACUUAGCAAAGAAACAAAGAAUCUAACAGAAGUUACCACCUAACUGGAUUUGAUAGAUAUCUGCAGAACAUUCCAUCCAAAUACAAAAGAAUAUACCUUCUUCUCAGCGCCACAUGGAACCUUCUCUAAAAUUGACCACAUAGUUAGCAACAAAGCAAAC